AACCACACUGUUUUCUUCUCAUUGGCUUCACAUCAAUUCCUGGCUUAUCUGCAAUUACAAUCAGCUCCCCACUGAAUGAGGGUGAAGGGCAGAAGACAGGUCCAUGUGUCAUGGUGGUUUUUAUUGGAAAGCCAUAAACUCUGUAGGACCCAUUCACAGAGAGGGAAAGAGUUAAAGCAUAAUGUCACAGCCUACAAAGAAAGCCCAAGAGCAGCCACCCCAACCAAAUGCACAUCUUCAGACAAAGCAGCCAGUCUGUGUACGGAGCAAUAAGAAGGAGAAAGGCAGAGUAGGCUGGGGGCACUGACUUUCCAGGCUACCCCUGUGGAAUCACAGAAUCUCUGUCUGCUGCCUCUCUCCUGCCAACAAGAAAGGAAAUGUCCACAUUUGUCUCCAUGGCUAAGCUUCCUGAUUACCAGCACGGGCUGGAGAGACACUGCUGAACAUCCUUCCUCUGUACCUCAGGCUGGACUGGGGGAGUAGGGGCUGCUGGAGCCAGGAGUGAGGGGAUGAUGCCUUGGUCUUCAUAAUGAGCAGAGCCUCUCCAAGGAGUCCUUGCUGCUACUCCUGAGAAGAGUCUCUUUGGAGCCUUCAAGUGCUGCAAAAUCUACAUCUCUGUGCAUCUGAGGCCAUAAAUAAAGCAGACCCCUUUCCAGCUGAGCUCAGGAUUCUAGAAACCUAGCAAAGUUCUCACAAGAGACUCCCCUAUCCCCAAUCACCCCAAACAGGGCCUCUCCCCGACACAGGAUAAAUUCUCAAGCACAGUGCUAACCCUUCCUAGAAAUGUGGGCAUGUGCAGUCACUCACACUCACACACAUACCUAUCUCAUAGUCAGAGAACCCCAGAACUUGAAGGGGACUUAGGGCCACCCAGACAGACUGCCCCAUUGCAUAGAUGGGGAAGCUGAGGCCCAGAAAGGGGAGACAGCUGGGACUGGAACCCAGGUCUCCUGACCCAAGUCCAAGGCUCUUUCCAG
rnacentral:lncRNA from 1 species